rnacentral:sRNA from 1 species
AUCUAUAAUUCUAUUUUCGUUGAGCUCAUCUAUACAACUCUUUCUGAAGUCCAACAAAUUCU